GACGAACGCUGGCGGCGUGCUUAACACAUGCAAGUCGAACGGUGAACGAGGGAGCUUGCUCCCUCCGGAUCAGUGGCGAACGGGUGAGUAACACGUGAGCAAUCUGCCCCGAACUCUGGGAUAAGCGUUGGAAACGACGUCUAAUACCGGAUACGACGCGCGAAGGCAUCUUCUGCGCGUGGAAAGAACUUCGGUUCGGGAUGAGCUUGCGGCCUAUCAGCUUGUUGGUGAGGGAACGGCUCACCAAGGCGACGACGGGGAGCCGGCCUGAGAGGGGGACCGGGCACACUGGGACUGAGACACGGCCCAGACUCCUACGGGAGGCAGCAGUGGGGAAUAUUGCACAAUGGGCGCAAGCCUGAUGCAGCAACGCCGCGUGAGGGACGACGGCCUUCGGGUUGUAAACCUCUUUUAGUAGGGAAGAAGCGAAAGUGACGGUACCUGCAGAAAAAGCACCGGCUAACUACGUGCCAGCAGCCGCCGUAAUAC
rnacentral:rRNA from 1 species